rnacentral:rRNA from 1 species
UACGAAGGGGGCUAGCGUUGCUCGGAAUCACUGGGCGUAAAGCGCACGUAGGCGGAUUGUUAAGUCAGGGGUGAAAUCCUGGAGCUCAACUCCAGAACUGCCUUUGAUACUGGCGAUCUUGAGUCCGGGAGAGGUGAGUGGAACUGCGAGUGUAGAGGUGAAAUUCGUAGAUAUUCGCAAGAACACCAGUGGCGAAGGCGGCUCACUGGCCCGGUACUGACGCUGAGGAGCGAAAGCCAGGGGAGCAAAGCGGG